AUAGACCAUAUAACCUUGCCAACUAAAGCGUCCUACUCUACCGCAGUAAGGGCUUAAGCGAUCGAAGUGACCUAACCUGGCUCCAUCUAGAAGGUUGGAAUCUUCCGGGUCUAUCUGCUCUUCAAUACCUUUGCCUCAACUGGGAUUUCGAACCUUUGUUUUCGGUACCAAAAAGUCAAGUGGGUCAGAACUCCUAUGAAGUUUGAAGUUAGAACCCAAG
rnacentral:lncRNA from 1 species